ensembl:lncRNA
GAAAAGAAUAAACAGCUGUAAACACUACUUUAUUAAGCACGAGUGUGUAAUUCUCUGAAAUAUUUCUUUGUGGGAAAGAGAUUCUGCCCCGCACGGCCCAAUUCAAAGCUUCCGCUAGUGCUAAGCCCAAUGUUUCCGAAUUUCCCGCUGACCGAGACUCCAGGUCCACAGAUCGCCCCUCGCAGCCGAUCCCCGACCCCGGCCCUGGCGGAGGCGGGAGACGGCUGCGGACCUGCAGCCCCGGUAGACAGAGGACCAGAGUGCGGGCCUCUCAAAGGCGGGGACUUGGUGGAAGCGGUCCAGUUCUCGCGAGGUUUCGUCCUGACCGGAGCAGGCGACAGCUCCGCGGAGAGAGUGGGUUUCGCUCACAGGAGGGAGCCGAAGGGCCCGGAGUGGUCGUUGCUACCCGGGGUCCGAGCCGGGGGAGAAGCCGUCACCUGUAAAAAGCCAGUUCUCCCUAAAGUCACCCCUGGGGAAGUCCAAGGCAGCGCUGGCCUCUUCCUUCUGCUGUGGGGGCAGCGCAGGCAAACCUUGCCGGCUAAAGAGAACCGCCCUAAGCAAAAACAUAAACACAGGUGUCCGGGCUCCCGGGGAGCUGGAGCUUAAGGUGGAUCUAGUGAAGCAAACCAGCGGCGUCUCUCCCAGGUGGUCAUCCGGUGGCUGCCCCCCAGCAUCACCAAGGAGCAGCUGGAACAGCAGCUGCACCUGCUGCCCGCACACCUUUACCGAGCUCAGAACCUUUCCUUUAGGAGAAAUUGCUGAGCUCUGCAGGAACUGUGAAUGGUGACUAUCUGGUAAUUCUAAGACUGAAAAGCAAGAGGUAAAGAGAUGGGAAAUGAGAAUUGAUGGGGAGAAGCAGGGGCAUCCAUGUUCAACCUCAGCCUGAGAGUCUGAGU